rnacentral:rRNA from 1 species
GAUGAACGCUGGCGGCGUGCCUAAUACAUGCAAGUCGAGCGAACAGAUAAGGAGCUUGCUCCUUUGACGUUAGCGGCGGACGGGUGAGUAACACGUGGGUAACCUACCUAUAAGACUGGGAUAACUUCGGGAAACCGGAGCUAAUACCGGAUAACAUUUGGAACCGCAUGGUUCUAAAGUGAAAGAUGGUUUUGCUAUCACUUAUAGAUGGACCCGCGCCGUAUUAGCUAGUUGGUAAGGUAACGGCUUACCAAGGCAACGAUACGUAGCCGACCUGAGAGGGUGAUCAGCCACACUGGAACUGAGACACGGUCCAGACUCCUACGGGAGGCAGCAGUAGGGAAUCUUCCGCAAUGGGCGAAAGCCUGACGGAGCAACGCCGCGUGAGUGAUGAAGGGUUUCGGCUCGUAAAACUCUGUUAUUAGGGAAGAACAAAUGUGUAAUUAACUGUGCACGUCUUGACGGUACCUAAUCAGAAAGCCACGGCUAACUACGUG